GAUGAACGCUGGCGGCGUGCCUAAUACAUGCAAGUCGAGCGAACAGACGAGGAGCUUGCUCCUCUGACGUUAGCGGCGGACGGGUGAGUAACACGUGGAGAACCUACCUAUAAGACUGGGAUAACUUCGGGAAGCCGGAGCUAAUACCGGAUAAUAUAUUGAACCGCAUGGUUCAAUAGUGAAAGACGGUUUUGCUGUCACUUAUAGAUGGAUCCGCGCCGCAUUAGCUAGUUGGUAAGGUAACGGCUUACCAAGGCAACGAUGCGUAGCCGACCUGAGAGGGUGAUCGGCCACACUGGAACUGAGACACGGUCCAGACUCCUACGGGAGGCAGCAGUAGGGAAUCUUCCGCAAUGGGCGAAAGCCUGACGGAGCAACGCCGCGUGAGUGAUGAAGGUCUUCGGAUCGUAAAACUCUGUUAUUAGGGAAGAACAAAUGUGUAAGUAACUAUGCACGUCUUGACGGUACCUAAUCAGAAAGCCACGGCUAACUACGUG
rnacentral:rRNA from 1 species